UUCACAGAACAGACAACUCUGAUCAAGCAGCAGCGCUGCUGUUUCCCUUGAGUGUGGGAGCUGUCCAUCUGGCACAGCUGCUUGUCGUGUUGGCCAUCCACAUCUGGCAUAUGGGAUUUGAAGUGAAGAACGAACUUGGAUAAAACUGAACAAGAACACCAAUACUGGAAUCAGGACUGACUCAAAUGUGCCACAUGCAACAAUCCAAUACCUCACCAUUGCUCCUGAAAGAGUCUCACGGGAGAUGAAAGCCAGAGUCAUGGAUUAUAUGGGAAGGAGAGUCUGGCAUCGGUCAGUGGAUGAAAUGAUAGAAAAAUUGUUUGGUGAUUAAUAAACCACUCCCUAAAGUAUUUUUUUGAAAUGCGAAGUGGAAGUAAUUAAGGAUGAUGUCCUCUGAAGACAGCACUGACAGCAAAAAAUCCAUUAACAGAAUAUAAAAGGACUAACAAGUAAUGCAUUUUUUCAUGUUUUUUGCAGGCUAUGAAGAAAGUUGAAAGUAUUGCUUUACCAUUAUGUGAAAUUAUGCUUGAUUACUUUUUUAACCUUGUAAAUUAUUUUUUAGUAAACUGUGGAUGGAUCUAUAGAUAAGAUUUAAAUUAAGCUUCAUCUAUAACUCGUUGCUAAACUUCUCUGUAAUCUUUUGAUCAAUUAAGAUAUUCUAAAUUCCUCAGUAUAACCUCACAGUGUUGGAAUUUUUAGAUUUUAUGCAAACAGAAGUCAUACUUAGUAGCUGAAAUUCAUAUUGGUAUUUCAAAACAAAUCAUGUGUUUAAUGCAAAUUGCUGACAUUCUGUAUGAAGUCAUGUUGUUUUUUGGUCAGAAUAUGUCACAUUGUGUCAUGUCACAAACUGUCCUGAAUGGUACUACUGUAACAGGCCAUGACACACCAAUGAGACACACAUAAAGAAAUGAAGUAUUUUUAAGAC